AAAUUGAAGAGUUUGAUCAUGGCUCAGAUUGAACGCUGGCGGCAGGCCUAACACAUGCAAGUCGAACGGUAACAGGAAGCAGCUUGCUGCUUCGCUGACGAGUGGCGGACGGGUGAGUAAUGUCUGGGAAACUGCCUGAUGGAGGGGGAUAACUACUGGAAACGGUAGCUAAUACCGCAUAACGUCGCAAGACCAAAGGGGGGGACCUUCGGGCCUCUUGCCAUCGGAUGUGCCCAG
rnacentral:rRNA from 1 species